CAGCCGUAAACAAUGUGCGUUAGGUGUGUCGGUAACCACGCGUUACUGAUGCGCCGAAGAGAAAUCGUGAAACGCACCACCUGGGAAGUACGGUCGCAAGGCUGAAACUUAAAGGAAUUGGCGGGGGAGCACCACAACAGGUGGAGCCUGCGGUUUAAUUGGAUUCAACGCCGGACAUCUCACCGGAUAAGACAGCUGAAUGAUUGUCAAUCUGAAGGUUUUACAUGACUAGCUGAGAGGUGGUGCAUGGCGGUCAGUGACU
rnacentral:rRNA from 1 species